GAAGUAAAUAUGUCAUAAUUUGUAAAGUUUGGAUUUUUUUUUUUGUCACAAAAAAGUUUUGAAACCAUCGCCCUCAACGGCGCAGCUGACUUGGGCUCUCUUCCCCUCACGAAGGGGAGAAGUUCGAAUCAUGUGGUGAUGAGUCUUGCAGUCGUUCCCCCAAAAUUUGCUCACCGACUGUCAGUUUACAGAUUCCUUGGGUUAUAAAAAAAAAAGAUUUUGAAUAAAUUUGUCAUUUUGAACAAAAUUUUGGAUUUUUUAUGAUCUUUUCCCUACUAAAGAGAUUAAAAGAUGGUCUUCUCUCUCAAAUGUGGAGGCGUGCGGCGUGAUUUCUUGGAAGAGCCUCGCCGCUUUUCUGCAACUUAUAAUAUAGUUUAGCUUCUUGGCGGGGUUUGUCCUGAUCUUUUUCUCUCUCUCCGGUUUCACAUUUGGACGGAGCUUUCUUGGGAUUUUCUGGUCGGGUUCAGCAUGCCAUACACCGACGUAGUUCCACCGACGUAGUUCCAACCUCCAGUUUUCGUCGGCCGGUCCAUGUGGGUUCUGCCCGAUUAUUACAGGCGAUAAAUAUCUCGGCAUUCGUCCCUACCUUUUUGGCCUAUCCGAUCUUGUCCCAAAAUAGAAUCCUCCCGACGAUGGAAAUGCAACUAAUUUUCAACAUUUUUGGGCCCAUUUAUUCUUCUGGUUAUAUUUAUAUAAUUUUUAGGAGUGAUGGCUUUCAAAGUAGUAAAAUUCAGAGUUAAAACCUGAAACCUACCCUAUUAUAACUAAUUCUUAAUUUUUAGACCCUGAAGCCGAUUCUUGAACAUAUUCUUUUUUUCUGGUCUGAUUUCAAAAUAUACUAAAAAAACCCGUUUUAUCUUUUUGUACCUUUUUUUUGGUCAUUUUUUACAGCAAAAUUAUAUGAGACUACGAGUACCAAAAUGAUUCAAAGGAAAAGGUGGACAACAGAAUACGCCAAAAACAGCAAUCCAUAAGAUUCCUAGACCUAUACUAUUAUAAAGGAUAAAAGUUUAAACACAUAACAUAAAACAUAAAUUAUAGAAUUUCAUCCCCUAUUAAUCUAUAAAAAUUUAGCGGAAGAUAAAAGACUAGCAAAGAGUUUCGAGGAAGAACAAAGAACAAAGGAGUACUAAGGUCAAAUUUAGGGGAAAAAUAAAUUAGGAUUUUGACUUUUUAACUCAUAAAACCAAUUUCAAAAUAAGGUGGUCCAAUCCAAUUUCUCGGUGAGUGUUUACUCAAAAGCUAUUCCUGGACUAAGUUUAAUAAGAACAUAUUCCUAGACCUAUUUUUCAAGAGUUCCGGUUUUGUUUCCGGAUUGAACCAAUUUGCAUUCACACUCCUAACAAUUUUAUGACUAAAUUGAAUAUGUACUUAAAAUUUGGAAACCAUAUUACAUUAAAAAUUCAAAAAUGACAUUACAAACCUGUACAAAAUUCAUAGACCAGUUUAUGUUAUUUACCUUCAAACACUUGCCAGCAACCAGAGAGAGAGAGAGGUUUCGUAAAUUUGCUGUCAGUUCCACCAAACGAUUCUCUUCCCCAUUUAUACUUAUGUCACCAGUGAAAAAGAAAGAGAUCAAAAGAUAGUCUUCUCUCUCUCUCUCUCUCUACUGAGGAGUGAUUUCUUGGAAGAGCCUCGCCGGAAAGGGGAUCCACCGACAUUAGUUCCAACCUCCAGUUUCCCUCGGACAGCCCUUAUUCGAGAGAUUCGAUAGAGACAGAAGCGGAAAAAUCGACUCGACAGAACUGAGGGAUGCUCUGUACAGUCUAAGCUACGUGAUUCCGCCAUCUGUUCUUCAAGUUCUGAUGUCUUGAUAUGACGGCAGCAGCGGCAGGACAUGCGAACUUAAUUUUGAUGCUUUUGUCGAAUGUGGAAUGAUUGUGAAGGUACAAUGUCAAUUCAACUAUAUGAACUGUCAUGAGUAUAGUAUGAUAUAGUCAGGGUUCGUCUACACAGAUGCUUCAAUGGCUAAUUGAGUGACCUUCUCGUUACUUAACAUCACAUUUCAGGGCCUGACAGAGAAAUUCAAAGAGAAAAAUCUGCAAUACACGGGAUCAGCAACACUCGGAUAUGAUGAGUUCAUUGUAUGAUCCUUCCUUUUCUUGUAUCAUAUGAUUGACGGCUAAGUAUUAUACUUUGUUUGGCGUGUAAAUACUGGACACUAAGGUGCGAUGGCGGCUCGUCGCUCUAUAACUGUAGAUUCUUGGGAGUCCUCUUGUCAGCUAUUAUAAGUAGGAACAUUUGUAUGCUUUUAUGCUUGCUGUAUUCUGAGAGGUGGUGUUUUUAUC